UACGAAGGGUGCAAGCGUUGUUCGGAUUUAUUGGGCGUAAAGCGCGCGUAGGCGGACCUGCAAGUCAGAUGUGAAAUCUCGGGGCUCAACCUCGAAACUGCGUCUGAAACUACAGGUCUAGAAUCUUGGAGGGGGAAGGGGAAUUUCUCAUGUAGGGGUAAAAUCCGUAGAUAUGAGAAGGAACACCAGAGGCGAAGGCGCCUUCCUGGACGAA
rnacentral:rRNA from 1 species